rnacentral:rRNA from 1 species
GACAGAGGUGCCGAGCGUUAGGCGGAAUCACUGGGCUUAAAGCGUGUGUAGGCGGAUCUGUAAGUACCUUGUGAAAUCCCACGGCUCAACCGUGGAACUGCUUGGUAUACUGCGGGUCUUGAGCCACCUAGGGGCAAGUGGAACAAACGGUGGAGCGGUGAAAUGCGUAGAGAUCGGAAAGAACACCAACGGCGAAAGCACUCUGCUGGGCCGACACUGACACUGAGAGACGAAAGCUAGGGGAGCGAAUGGG